rnacentral:rRNA from 1 species
UUACCCGCUGGAAAUUUAAGCAUAUAAGUAAGCUGAGGAGCAAGAAACUAAAAUAGGAUUCCCUCAGUAAUGGCGAAUGAACAGGGAUAAGCUCAGCAUGGAAAUUGGGGCCCUCGGCCUUGAAUUGUAGUCUUGAGAUGGCAUUGCCAGUGGAGGCGCAGAUGUAAGCCUCUUGGAAAAGAGCAUCAAUGAGGGUGAGAGUCCCGUCUGUCAUCUGCAGUCCCCCAUACACGGUGUGCUUUCUAAGAGUCACGUUCCUUGGGAUUGGAGCGCAAAUUGGGUGGUAAAUUUCAUCUAAAGCUAAAUAUUGGUUCGAGACCGAUAGCAAACAAGUACCAUGAGGGAAAGGUGAAAAGGACUUUGAAAAGAGAGUUAAAAGUGCCUGAAAUUGCUGAAAGGGAAGCGAAUGGAACCAGUCUUCUUGGCGAGAUUGUUGCGCGCUAUUGUGAUUGCUCGCUGCUUCAACGCAAGUGUUGCAGUGGGUUUUGAGCAUGACGUGCGCUUUGUUUCUUGCCUCGUGUGUCAACGUCGGUUCGGACUUGAGGAAAACUCCAGGGACAUGGUAAAUCGCUCGCGGGUGAUUGAACGUGCCUGGCAGAACUCAUUUCUUAACUGAUCUCUGCAUGUCUGGUCGCAGUGCUCUCACUGCCUGCGCUCGCUGCCUCGGGUCGGGCCUCGGCUCUUCCUCGUCGCUUCGUGCCUGGUCGUGUGGCAUCUCCCUGACAUAAGUACGAUGACAAAAUGGUUUUAUUCGACCCGUCUUGAAACACGGACCAAGGAGUCUAACAUAUGUGCAAGUUCACGGGUGUUAAACCUGAUUGCGCAAUGAAAGUGACUGCUGGGAUAUUUGCACCAGCAACCGACCCAAUCAAUUGUGAGAGGUUUGAGUAUGAGCAUAUCUGUUAGGACCCGAAAGAUGGUGAACUAUGCCUGAGAAGGGUGAAGUCAGGGGAAACUCUGAUGGAGGCUCGUGGCGAUACUUGACGUGCAAAUCGUUCGUACAAGUCGAUCGUUACGAGUCUCCUUCAAAUUUUCCUCUGACUUACACCUUUUUCAGGAUAUUUCACCAUCUUUCGGGCCCUAACACAUAUGUCAAUCUCU